GGUUGGCACAGAGAAAGGCUCAACAAACACAAUUUCAAAUAAACCAACGAAGGAUUUGGUAUUAUGCUUUCCAGCCAUUCUACGCCUGCCUUGGAGCUCUUUGGGGAGCUUUCAAGGGACCAAUGUCAGUCAGAGCUCCACCCCCAGAGAUUGAAUUAAUUUGGAGAGACAAAGGAGACCUGGGGUUUAGGACUUUGAAAGUGCUCUCACAUCUAUUACCCCAUUUGAUCCCUACAAGUAGCCCGAGAGACAGAGUGAGCACAUUUUCUCCUGAUUUGACAGGAGCAAGGUUAUUUUAGCAGGAGCGGGUGGGCUUGGAAGAGGACACUGGAGAAGGUAAGGUGAUGCUGGGACCUAAAAACCUACGGGGAAACUCCUCUCUGGGGACAAACUUGGGACAGCAUGGGAAUCAUGAAAGAAUGAACAUCUGAGACUCGGUGAGCCAGUUUCUGCCUGCCCUGUUCCCAAGGCCCCAAGGGACCACAGCUGCUGUGAGGGAGGGCCCUGGUCCCUGUCACAAAGAAGCCAGCCCCAUGGAUUUCCUAGUGAAAGGCACAGCCAGGUCCCAAUCUUAUUGCAGCGAUUACUAUCCGAAUCACAGGCAGGGUGCUUAGAAAAAAAGUUAAAUAGCCUGGGAAGGCCAAGGCCAAGGCUGCAAGCCCAGACCCAUAAAAUAGUGGCAACCACUAGAGAUUUGAAAGGGCCUCUCUUCCUGUCACCUCUUAGGUCACAAUAUCCAUCUCAAACUCCAGAAAGAAGGACAGCCAUAAGAGGAGAAAUUCCUUAUUUUAUUUUAUUUUUUUUAAGCCUCUGCUCCCACAGAGCCACGUAGCAAGUUUGAUGGAGGGUGCAUGUCUUGGCACAUUGCUAAGCACGGCCACUGAUUCCACUGGGGUUGAGCUUGGUUUAGCUCUCCCUUUGCGGGUAGAAAACAGCCCGGACCUGUUAACCAACUGCUAACUCAACUGUGGUCACCGAUGCCGGCUUUCUUUUGGUGCCCACAGAUGUGUCCUUGGUUCCCUCUUUCGCCUUUCUGGGACUGCAUUCUUCCAUCUGAGUCAACAAGGGGGAGAGAUUCGAGGAAUUGAAUAAAAGGUCUUUCUUUGGGCACUUCAAGGAACAUAUUUUGAUAAUUAUCUUCUGCAGGGUUCACAGAGUGGGUUUUCAAAACAGCCAAUUGGAUCAGUAAAAAUAAAGAUUUAAGAGUCUUCUCUGGAGCCAAUGCUGUAUUUAAAGUGCAGAAUAGCUAUAGUUUAAGGUUGGAGAAUGCUAUAAGUAAGACUGCAAAAUUGUUUUCAUUAGAGCCCUUCCGCCACUACCCCCUCUCCACAGGCUUCCUUUGUGGGUUUGUCUGUAAUCGGUUGGGAAUCCGCCUGCCCACUCAGGUCUCAAGACGCGGGUCCUUUCCCUUCAGAUCUUCCUGCUCAACAAGUUGUCCUUUUCUGCUUCCAUGGUUCCGCCAGUUUCUCUCCUCCAGCACUUGCCCCUUUGUUGGUCCCCAUCCUCAAGCUUCUGCAUCCCUAAAACCACAUCUGCUGCUCUGAGACAGGCUUCUCUCUCGCUUCCUGCUACCUCCACCUGAAUCCCUUCGGCUGCCUCCCAGUCUGUUCUUGGUAACCACAGAGGUUGUGGGUAAAUCCCUGCUUUAUCCUAAACCCUCUUUAACCUAAACAACUUUCCUCCCCUUUUUUGCCCUCCACUCCUCUAACUGGGACCCUAUUCCAGGUGGUGCAAUUCUUCAUUAGAUGGGCAUGGCCCACUCUGCACAGACAUUCAGCAUCCUGGCCUUGCCCACUAAAGGCCAGUAGCAAUCCCUGGUCAUUGUGACAACCCCGAAUGCCCACCCAUUUCUAAAUACCUGCUCGCAGCCUGGUGCUGCCUCUAGUUGAGACAAGAACCCAGGCUACUCACCCAACACAACAGGCACUCUCCCCCCAUUACUUACACAUUGGUCUCCUCUGUGUACACAGCACUCCCCCCGACUCCCCUGAACCCCAUGAAUUCAGAGGGAUGGGAGGGGUGGGAAUCACCGGCUUUCUUUUCUUUUUUUUUCUUUUUUCUUUUUUUUUUUAUA